UUGGGAUUCUAGUCAAAUUAGCAGUUACAAAUAAGUAGUACUGCAGAUAAUCUAUUGGUUAGAAUUAUUGGAAUGUUCGACCACAUCUUGCUCAUAACAUGCUUUUACUCUGAUAUAGUCUGAUGCGUGGAUGCUAUCAAUGGGACCAGAAUGGAUAAUUCCAAGUAACUAGAGCUUGCUCGAUAGGUUGUCUGUUUUCUUUCAGGCCAGUGGAUGUGGGCCAUCUGGUGGUUAGAAGUGCUUAUCUAGUUAUCUUCUGCUUUUGAAGAUGUGGCCAGUAGCCCCACUUGAUAUUGAACGUGA
rnacentral:lncRNA from 1 species